CCAAACUCUUUUGGAGCUCACUGUCGAAGAUUCGAAGCAGAAGCUCAUCGUGCGAGGGGGGAGGAGGAAGAAGAAGGAGGAGCAGAGAUGAACAAUCGGAGCUAGGAGACCCGGAUCGUUCCCUUUGCCUCUUUCUUCUGCUCUUCCAAUGGCGAAAGGUGCAUCAUCACCAUCGCCUUCAUCCCUUGUACCUCCCACAGUUCCGAUGGAGCUCCACGUGAAGAACCGCGAGAAGCUCCUGAGGGCUCUUCGGCAGCAUCUCUCCGAUUCUUCUCGACCGCUCCGCGGGUGGGUUCGUCUUCCUCCAGGGAGGUGAGGAGCAAAUGCGGCACGACACCGAUCAUAUCGAGCUCUUCAGGCAGGAGAGUUACUUUGCUUAUUUGUUCGGAGUAACUGAGCCUGGAUUCUUCGGAGCUAUUGUAAGUUCACUGCUGUUUAUAAUGCGUGCCGCGUAGGAACAUUCCUAUUGAAGGGAAGAUUCUUGUCAUGUCAAAAGUCUUGUACCUCUUUAACUCGUGGGAAGAAGUGUGAUAGCUUAUUAUGAUGAAUGGCAUGUACUAAUGUGGCAAAACCUGUCCAAUGAUAUUUUCGUUGAACAACCAUGUGUCAUAAUGAAGGUUCUACGCGACUUGAUCUCAUAGAGGAAUAUCUCCAUGUGCAUUGGAUGUUAUGACUGCGAAUUCUCUUCUUUUUGCUCCAAGACUUCCCGCUGAUUACGCUGUUUGGUUGGGAGAAAUAAAGCCUGUAUCGUUCUUCCAGGAAAAAUACAAGGUUAAACAUGGUUUUUUAUACCGAUGAGAUUACACAAGUUCUGCAUCAGCACUAUCGAGGAGAGGAAAAACCUCUCUUGUUCCUCUUGCAUGGCCUUAACACAGACAGUCACAAAUUCACAGAACCAGCCAAAUUCGAGGUUAUAAUCUCUCAUUUGUUCUCCAUCAAAUGAGAGAUUAUCCGGUCCAUUGACUCUCUUAUAA